AUUGAACGCUGGCGGCAGGCCUAACACAUGCAAGUCGAGCGGAUGAAGGGAGCUUGCUCCUGGAUUCAGCGGCGGACGGGUGAGUAAUGCCUAGGAAUCUGCCUGGUAGUGGGGGAUAACGUCCGGAAACGGGCGCUAAUACCGCAUACGUCCUGAGGGAGAAAGUGGGGGAUCUUCGGACCUCACGCUAUCAUAUGAGCCUAGGUCGGAUUAGCUAGUUGGUGGGGUAAAGGCCUACCAAGGCGACGAUCCGUAACUGGUCUGAGAGGAUGAUCAGUCACACUGGAACUGAGACACGGCCCAGACUCCUACGGGAGGCAGCAGUGGGGAAUAUUGGACAAUGGGGGAAAGCCUGAUCCAGCCAUGCCGCGUGGGUGAAGAAGGGCUUCGGAUUGUAAAGCACUUUAAGUUGGGAGGAAGGGCAGUAAGUGAAUACCUUGCUGUUUUGACGUUACCAAAAGAAUAAGCACCGGCUAACUUCGU
rnacentral:rRNA from 1 species